rnacentral:rRNA from 1 species
UGCCACAAUGGGCGAAAGCCUGAUCCAGCAAUGCCGCGUGUGUGAAGAAGGCCUUCGGGUUGUAAAGCACUUUUGUCCGGAAAGAAAUCCUUGGUUCUAAUAUAGCCGGGGGAUGACGGUACCGGAAGAAUAAGCACCGGCUAACUACGUGCCAGCAGCCGCGGUAAUACGUAGGGUGCGAGCGUUAAUCGGAAUUACUGGGCGUAAAGCGUGCGCAGGCGGUUUGCUAAGACCGAUGUGAAAUCCCCGGGCUCAACCUGGGAACUGCAUUGGUGACUGGCAGGCUAGAGUAUGGCAGAGGGGGGUAGAAUUCCACGUGUAGCAGUGAAAUGCGUAGAGAUGUGGAGGAAUACCGAUGGCGAAGGCAGCCCCCUGGGCCAAUACUGACGCUCAUGCACGAAAGCGUGGGGAGCAAACAGGAUUAGAUACCCUGGUAGUCCACGCCCUAAACGAUGUCAACUAGUUGUUGGGGAUUCAUUUCCUUAGUAACGUAGCUAACGCGUGAAGUUGACCGCCUGGGGAGUACGGUCGCAAGAUUA